CCAGCAAAAAAAAGUAUACUAAAAUUUGUGAUAUUUUUGUUUACUAUAUGGAUCUAAAUAUGUGGAGCUGAAAAACAUUUGUUUUGUAAUUUUUAGAUUUUUCUAUGAAUUACUAUAUAUUUAUUAAUUUUUAUAGGAGAUUUUGCAUUAGGAACCCUAGAAAAAUUUCUAUUCUUUUUUCUUCCUCUUCUAGAAGUCUAUGUACGGGCUGAUGCGGCUGGUUAGAUUGGCUGAUAAAUUUGCACUUAGAUCCCCUGUACUUUCUUUAUUUUUAAUAUACUCUAGUGUGUAGGAGAUUUUGUAUUGGGAACCUAGAAAAGUUUUUAUUCUUUUUUUUUCUCCUCUACAAGUACCGGAAGCGGACAUCGGAUAGGGAGGCAGAAAAAGAAUUGGCAAACUGAAAUUUUCUCCUUUUAUAAAUAGGUAAUAGAUU
rnacentral:lncRNA from 1 species